rnacentral:tRNA from 399 species
GGAGACGUGGCCGAGUGGUCGAAGGCGCUCCCCUGCUAAGGGAGUAGGCCCGGAAGGGUCUCGAGGGUUCGAAUCCCUUCGUCUCCGCCA